GUGAUAUGAACCGUUAUAACCGGCGAUACCCGAAUGGGGAAACCCAGUGUGAUUCGUCACACUAUCAUUAACUGAAUCCAUAGGUUAAUGAGGCGAACCGGGGGAACUGAAACAUCUAAGUACCCCGAGGAAAAGAAAUCAACCGAGAUUCCCCCAGUAGCGGCGAGCGAACGGGGAGGAGCCCAGAGCCUGAAUCAGCAUGUGUGUUAGUGGAAGCGUCUGGAAAGGCGCGCGAUACAGGGUGACAGCCCCGUACACAAAAGCGCAUGUGCUGUGAGCUCGAUGAGUAGGGCGGGACACGUGGUAUCCUGUCUGAAUAUGGGGGGACCAUCCUCCAAGGCUAAAUACUCCUGACUGACCGAUAGUGAACCAGUACCGUGAGGGAAAGGCGAAAAGAACCCCGGCGAGGGGAGUGAAAAAGAACCUGAAACCGUGUACGUACAAGCAGUGGGAGCCCCACCACUAAGCCAGUGGUGAACUCCACAUCCGCAUCCUUUGCUGAGGAUACGGUUAACGGAGCGAAAGCGACGUUCAACCGCAAAACAAGCAGAGGGGGCUUAGUGGUGGGGUGACUGCGUACCUUUUGUAUAAUGGGUCAGCGACUUAUAUUCUGUAGCAAGGUUAACCGAAUAGGGGAGCCGGAGGGAAACCGAGUCUUAAU
rnacentral:rRNA from 1 species